rnacentral:rRNA from 1 species
GCUUUCUAUUAGGUGUGUAUAUAUAGUCUCAAAAUUACAUGUAUUUGUAAUGGCGAGUAAUAUUUAUACUAUCCUGUAGGAAAACUCGGGCGACCGCUGUAAUAUUUCUCUUUAAAACAGAGGAAGAUUGCGGCAAUAACAGGUCUGUGAUGCCCUCAGAUGUCCCGGGCCGCACACGUGCUACAUUGAUUAGCGCAGUGCGCAUACUUUCAAUAUGAUACAUUAGAUUGGAUUGUUCUGUUGAGCUCCAUCUAAUACUAUCCGGCUUGAGAAGGCUGGGUAAUCAAUUGUAAGUGCUGGUUCCUCCUCCCGUUGAGCAUUUUAAUAAUGGCCUCUCUACAUCCCUAGCAAUAUGCCUAGUGCGAUUGUAGUUGAGCCUUGCCAUUUAUGCAAGUGUCAAUUCUCAGUGGGGACAGACAUUUGAUAAUUCUUUGUCUCGUUCUUAACUAGGAAUGCCUUGUACGGGUCUUGGUUCAACAGACCACCCGGAAUACGUCCCUGCCCUUUGUAMACACCGCCCGUCGCUCUUACCGAUGAAUUUCCCUG